CCACAGCGAGCAUCAGCUUGCUAGUCUCCCCUGGAGGCGACACGCUCAACGUGCGGAAAGGCCCUCCUUGGAGGGAAAUCCGCAGCUCCUACCCGGAGUUCAGAGACUCAAUGAGUGUGGGUGUGGCCUAGCCACGCUUAAGAUAGAGCCCGUCCCGGCUGGCAACUGCCGGGAGUCAACGGAACCUGCGGAAGGAUCAUUAAAGAAUACAAGGUUUCGGGCCCUAUUCUCACCCUUUGUUUAUUAACUUUGUUGCUUUGGCAGGCCUCCGGCUUCGGCUGGGUCGUGUCUGCCAGAGGCCUAACUCUUGAAUCACUGCGGUCUGAGUACUAUAUAAUAGUUAAAACUUUCAACAACGGAUCUCUUGGUUCUGGCAUCGAUGAAGAACGCAGCGAAAUGCGAUAAUUAAUGUGAAUUGCAGACUCAGUGAAUCAUCGAAUCUUUGAACGCACAUUGCGCCCUCUGGUAUUCCGGGGGGCAUGCCUGUUCGAGCGUCAUUACAACCCUCAAGCUCUGCUUGGUGUUGGGCUCGCCCUGUAGGGCCUGCCUCAAAGUCAGUGGCAGCACCGUCUGACCCUAAGCGUAGUAAUACUCGCCGCUUUUGUGGUUAUGCGUGGACUGCCAAUCAACCCCCACCAUCAAGGUUGACCUCGGAUCAGGUAGGGAUACCCGCUGAACUUAAGCAUAUCAAUAAGCGGAGGAAAAGAAACCAACAGGGAUUGCCUCAGUAACGGCGAGUGAAGCGGCAACAGCUCAAAUUUGAAAGCUGGCUCCUUUGGGGGCCCGCGUUGUAAUUUGUAGAGGAUGCUUCGGGUGCGGCGCCGGUCUAAGUUCUUUGGAACAAGACGUCAUAGAGGGUGAGAAUCCCGUAUGUGACUGGUUGCCUGUGCCCGUGUGAAGCUCCUUCGACGAGUCGAGUUGUUUGGGAAUGCAGCUCAAAAUGGGUGGUAAAUUUCAU
rnacentral:rRNA from 1 species